CCAACCUGGGAGUUGCUUACGUCCGCAACAAGGUCUGCUGGUCUGCUCCAUGCGAACCUGGCAACCCUAAAUUAAGCAGUGCUUCGCGACCUGUGCGCGGCAACUAUAUAUGGGGAUUUACAUAGCCGAAUGGCCCCCGGCUGGCGCUCCGGCGCUGCCUAAACUAAAAAGGCUACGACGGACGGCUCCUGGGGAGCAAGUGGUUUAUGGUAAACUUCCUGGUGCGGCGCCAGCAGACGAUGGGAUAUGGCAUUUAUCCCGCGUCGUCCUAAUCAUGGCGGGUCCAUGUGCUACGCCCGAAGCCGGAAUUACCGGGCUGGAUGUGCUGCAUUUUA
rnacentral:telomerase_RNA from 1 species